GUGCAGAGACAUGAAGGCAAUGAAGUGCAGGGACCAGAAAGACACAGCAUUUGUUUAUACCACAGCGUGAGAGGGAGCAGAAACGCAAAGAUGACAGUUCAAGCUUGCCGCUUCAACAUCUUCAUCAGCUUCACAGUUUAUUUGAGCUUCACCUUCCACAAAAGCCAUGGUUUUGAGGUGAUUCAACCACAGAACCAGACCGUAAACUCAGACGGGUCAGCAGCUAUCAGCUGUGAACACACUGCAAACGGCACCAUUGUCGAUGUUCAGCUCAUCGGCAUAGCACUGUAUGUACCCUGGUGUCAUUAAAUGAGUGUUGUUUGUGGGAUGGUAGGAGGCUGAGUUGUGAAAUACUAAAAUUAAGGGGUUCAUUUAGAUAACAUUAGAUAACCUAUUAACUUAUUUGUGUCUCUUUUCUCUCUGGUAUCAGAUUCCCAUUUCAUUGUACUUCCUUAGCCAAGCCAGAGUGUCUUUCUGUGGUAAAUAAGUUAGUUAGUUCAUAACUUUUAAUGACUUUCUUCUUUUCUACGUAGAUUUAUAUGUGUAGUGCAGUAGGUAUUUGUGGUAAGAAAGAGAUCUCAAUUAGUUAUUAUAUGAGGUAUUUUCAGGGAGUUUAGAGUGAAUCGAAGUAACCAAAGACGUGAGGGCACAUGGUUCAAACAGAUCCAGUGAGUUUAACCAGCCAGCUACAGCUAGAGUACCUAACAUAACUGCAAUUACUGCCAUUGUGCAGUGAUACAUAACGGCAAUUUAAAUAGGAUUUGGUUACAGAUCUAGAUUAUGGAGUAUAUAUAUAGAGAGAGAAAUAGAGAGGUCAUGCAUAUGAACAGAAGUGGAGACACAAAACAAAAACUGAUCAUUUGAUCAGGAAGCUUGCUGUAAGUCUGUAUAAUUGUCGGGUGUAUCAGUAAAUGGGACAGAUCCACAUGUUUUAAAAAUUGAGGGAUUAGCCCAAACCUAGGGGAGAUUUUUUUCUCCAUUUACUGCAGCUAUAUGUACUAUUUUUCAAGGCAGUUGAGAUAAUUAAAUGCCUAAAGAUCUGUACAUCAUUAGGGAGAAUAAUUCAAAGUUGCUCAGGAAAAAUAUCGCAUUUUUAAAAAAUCUAAUUGUUCUCCAACUGUCUACAUCAUUCUGCAACCAGAACACAACAAGUGUUUAGGACUAAUCUUCACUCCUAACACCUAAAGUUAAUAUUUUUAAGUUACAUAACAUAGGUAGUGUAGUAGUAAUAUAUACUAUUUUACUAUGCAUUUCUACUUUUCUUCUUUUUCAUGGAUUAUGUUUAAAAUUUGGCUAUUUUUAAUGUGUGUUUCACACAGAAGGGUGAUUCAUCACUAAUCUACUUUAAAAACAGCAGCAUGCAUGCUCCUCUUGCCAUCACCAAUGAAGCGUAGUAGGACAAUAUCUUUUCAGUCAGAUAACUCACGUAUUAAAUGUUUAUUACAGCAGUAUAACAUAUUUAGAUUUUGGCGUCUAGGC